AUACAAUAAAUAACACAAUACAAGAACAAUGCAACACACACUAUUUAAUGUCAAAUUAAUUUUCAUGCCAUUAAAUGCAGCAACAAAAAAAAUAAAUAAAUAAAACAAAACAAAAAGAGAGCAAACACUCAACAAUCGAAGAGCAGGCAAUAAAAUCAAUGCCAAGAGGAUAAAUAUUAUACUAGCUGAUGGAUAAAGCAAAAGUGGAACAAGUACGGCUGGCAAUCGAAUAUUCGAGCUAAUGAAUACUGAAUACCCUUGCACGACUCAUCUCUGGCUCCCAUAUCGAAUUAGAACAGUCCAAGCCACGGCAGUAUGCAAGUUCGAUGACAUCGGAUGCGAUCUCCGACUAACAAAGGUCGGAGAUCUGAUUAAAUUCUUCACCCGAUCGCGAUCGCCUGCGUCCUGGCUGAUCCAAUCACAGAGAGACGCAUCCAAAGGUUACACUCCUGCGACCCACCUACCAGCUGCAGCGUAGCCUCAGGACUAGCCCCAGGACAAAUGCCUCUCGCUCGAAGUGUCUCUUUUGUGGUAAUUUAUGCAUGUUGUUUGCGUACUUUUGACUUUUUCGGCAUUUACUCGUUAUAAAAUAAAUAAAAUAUGUCACAAAAUGCUUUGACAUGCUCGUUACAUUCUCCACAUA